UACGUAGGGUGCAAGCGUUAAUCGGAAUUACUGGGCGUAAAGCGUGCGCAGGCGGUUUUGUAAGUCUGUCGUGAAAUCCCCCGGGCUCAACCUGGGAAUUGCGAUGGAGACUGCAAGGCUAGAAUCUGGCAGAGGGGGGGUAGAAUUCCACGUGUAGCAGUGAAAUGCGUAGAGAUGUGGAGGAACACCGAUGGCGAAGGCAGCCCCCUGGGUCAAGAUUGACGCUCAUGCACGAAAGCGUGGGGAGCAAACAGGAU
rnacentral:rRNA from 1 species